rnacentral:rRNA from 1 species
GAUGAACGCUGGCGGCGUGCUUAACACAUGCAAGUCGAACGAAGCAUUUGCGACAGAUUUUUUCGGAAUGAAGUUGCUUAUGACUGAGUGGCGGACGGGUGAGUAACGCGUGGGUAACCUGCCUUGUACUGGGGGAUAGCAGCUGGAAACGGCUGGUAAUACCGCAUAAGCGCACAAUGUUGCAUGACAUGGUGUGAAAAACUCCGGUGGUAUAAGAUGGACCCGCGUCUGAUUAGCUAGUUGGUGAGAUAACAGCCCACCAAGGCGACGAUCAGUAGCCGACCUGAGAGGGUGACCGGCCACAUUGGGACUGAGACACGGCCCAGACUCCUACGGGAGGCAGCAGUGGGGAAUUUUGCACAAUGGAGGAAACUCUGAUGCAGCGACGCCGCGUGAGUGAAGAAGUAAUUCGUUAUGUAAAGCUCUAUCAGCAGGGAAGAUAGUGACGGUACCUGACUAAGAAGCUCCGGCUAAAUACGUG